UAUCUUCCUGAAAGCAAAAACAUAAUUAAGUUUCCAGGCUGACAAAUAAUUCUUGAGAUACUUGAAGCAGUUUCUGGGCAUUUUUUUCAUUCUUGUGAAAGGUUAUGAAAAUUGGGCAACGAAGACUACUUUGCUUGUUUAUCUUUUAAUAAUUUUGCUAGUGCCUUCUGUCAGUGAACUAAUCUAUGCAGGAACUGCCCUCAUUGUAAUUAAUUUUGGGAACAACAAUGCUAACGUUUAGCUGACCUUUUGGUAAGUUUACUUUAAGUGACUGAACUUCAUCUCUUAUAUUUAUAUUCUCCUGCUAGUAAUCUGUACACAUCUAUAAUCACUUAAUGGAGCUUACACGCUAAGUGCUCAGGAAGACGCAUCGGGGUGAUGAGGAGGGCUGCUUAAAAUGCUGUCUCCUGCAGCAUCCAGAGGAGCCUGUCUGCUGGAGCAAGAUCUGGCUUCCAGUGCCUGGUCUGACCAUCUUUCCUCCCACCCCGUCCAUGAUUUGGUUUCUAGAAGCUCACAGCCACUUGGUGUGACUGUUGGCAGGAAGCAUAGUCAGCUGCAGCUAAGCCUGGCCCUUAGCCAGCCUGGGAAGCCUUCACUCUCGGUGCUACCCCUCUGCCAGCCCCGAGUCCCCUCCCUGCCUGGUGGCACCUCUGAAUAGGACGGGUGGUGCUGCAAGGGAGCUCUCCAGGGCAGCUCCUUUCCUGGUCCCCUCUGCGGGCUGGGAGAAAUCUUUAAAAGCGGCACAACUGAUCCCAGCGUGAUUUGUGUGAAAUAGGAGACAUCUCCAUGUAACUGCUCACAGAUGUAAGAGAUUUACAAGCAGUACUUAUGUUUCGCUGUAUUACACAGGUUCUUAUCUGCAAAAUGGCAACAGUAACAUCUCCUCUUCCUAGCAUUUGCUUGUUGUUGUUUUUUCAUCUGUAAGGGCUGGGUGCUGUCGUGGUUACUGGUUGCCCAGCAUAUGCACCAGAAGUCCCAGUCCUGUCUUCAGUUCCAGCACUGUCCCGGGGGAGAACUGGCAGUCUUGGAAUGGGAGAGUCAAGGAAAUGCAUGCCAGCGAGGUGUCAUAGAGGCACGUUUAGGGGCAGCCUCACAGGACCAAGUCAGGCACCUCAGAAAUGCACAUGAAGUCAGGUGUUUGCUCCAGAGAAAACUCACUCACUCAAAGGCGUCCUUUCAAAUACUGUUAAAGAAGGAGACAGCAGGUCUCCCUAAUGGCUCCUCACUCAGCUAGAGAAGUCCCACAGGAAGAAGUUCAAGCUUGUGUCAUCUGCGACCCAAAAAGGCCUCAGAUUCCUGAUGACAGCCUGUCACAGUGACUGGCUUUCCUUUCAUCUCACUAAAGCGGAGGCACUGCGAGAGCCAGUGCAGGCUCUCGGAUGGCUUGUGCGCGGUCAGACUGUACUAAUAUGGAACCAGCAUUAACCCCAUUCCAGCACACUUGUAUCCGCCUGACACCUGCAAAAUUUUGUGACCCCAACCCCCCAAAAGCACGGCAGAGAACAUUAGGUUCUCACCAGAGCAGUCACCAGGGAAUCCCAGAUCCUGACCCCAGUUCCGAGGCCAUCUUCUAGAGUUUACCCAGUGACAGCAGGAUGCGCAACAGUCCUGGAAGCAGGGAUGGACCUGAAACUACACCAGCCACUGCAAGCAAGUGCCAGCGAUCACUAAUAUGUAAUUCAGCAGGCAAGAGCCCACCAUGCAGCUUCCCAAGGUAAUGCUAAACAGGUUGGUUCCAGGUAGGUCACCUACAGGGCAGUACAUGGAGAUGUUCUGAGCUGUGAGACUGAGGAAUGCCUUGUACCAAGGCGUCCCGUUUCCUCAGUGAAUUAGACUAUUGCAAAGAAAAAAAAAAAGAAAAAAAAAAGGUGGUAUCAGGGCUGGCUGCUUAAAAGGCACUUCUAAAUGUGAUUCUAAAUGUGAGGGAAUUCUUUAACCAAAAAUGCCUAAAGGAUGCUGGGGAGCCUAGGGAAUUUGUCCUGUCUUUGUGGGUCACCUGGUAAUGUAUGAAUUCCUGAAAUGUACAUUUUUACUGCUCCUGCCAUACAGAUUUGCAGGCUAAGCUAGCAUUUGGAGAAUAACAGGAUUUAAGCAUCUCAUUAGUUCCAAUUAUGGGGCCUUAUUUAUUUUCUGUUUGCACUUAAGCUUUAGGGGUGUGGGGGUGUGUGCAAUUUGUCACAGUGUCAUAGCUGGGUCAUAAGCCCAGCAGGCCUUCAGGCACUGCAGCAAUACAAAACAGUAAAUAAUAAUUUUUGGCUCAAAAUUAUUAGGAAAGAGAAAGGUUGGGAAAAGCCUAAAAAAUUUGCUUUCAUGCCACUUUGAGAGUUUCUGAGCCUAUAAAUGGCUAGGUAAUUCAGGAACAUGUUCAGACUAAGAGUACUUUGGAGCUUGCGCAAGGCCACUGUUUUAGAUGCCUAAGAUGUCCUUAGAAUCCAAAACCAUAGCAGCAAUUAUAUCUCGACCAUGACUGAAGUGACUGGGCUUUGCACAGGUCAGGCAACCCAGCUAGGCUGUCUGCUGGACUAGUUUUCUUUUUGCUUACACUUACGCAAAAAUAAGAAACACUUACUGUGUUUUCAAUAAAUAGGAGAAUAACUGAAUUUAAAUAAACUAGCUUAAAAGCUAAACAAUGAAAUAAAGAUUUAAAAACUUAUCAAGUACCACUUUGGCCUUUUUAAAUACCAUGUCUGUAGGUCAGCAGUAUAGAACCAGGGUUACAGUGUCUUGCCUUUUCAUAAAAGAUCUGAAUGAGAGUCCAACAAAAAAUACUGGUUUUAUACCUAAUCAGUUGUAAUGAAAAAAUAUGAAGAACUGUCGUGUGCUUAUUAGGGGAAAUCAUCAGAUACUCUUUUAUAUGAUGAACUAACACACUGUGCUGAUAAUUCUGUAGUGCACACUAAAUUACAAUUAAAGGCCUUUCUGCUCCACCAAAAUCUCAUUUAUAAUCUCUAUGGAAAUACUCUUCCUGCAGUUAUUUCAUUUAUGCUUCCUUUAUCUAAUUACUAUAAUAUUGGUUCUGAAUCAUAUUUUCUUAAUGUACCCUUAUUCAAUUAUAAAGUUAUUUUCAAGUAGUUACUUUAUAAUACCAAGUAUAUUGCUCUACAGCCUUUGUCAUUCACCAUACUAUUUAACUGGCAAUGUUUUCUGAAGGUUUCUCUUCAUUUCAGAAUCAGCUUUUUUUUUUUUUUUUCCAAAAGCACACUACAUGUAAUUACCUUUUUUCUCAUCAUUUUCAAGACAGAAAUGUACAGUUUGAUUAUUCCAACCUUGCAAUCAGGCUUCUCUCUCCCUACUUUGUUUUUUUGCAGGCACUAAUGUGAAAAGCUCGGCAGAAACCUUCCAGGGAACAGCAACAUUCUGGGCUGUACAAUGUUCUGCUCCUGCCCCCACAGCUAUAUAAAUUUUCUUCCCUUACAAAUUCCUUCCUACCCAUGUUUCUUUUCAUCUUUCCUCUGUUCUGUGCUGUCUCUUCAUUUAUUUUCAUCUCCCAUUUUAAUCUUCUUAGUCCUUCAAGUAUGCUGUAUGUGCCCUCUAAAGGAGCGGUUCAUACACAGCAGAGCCUGCAAUUUCUUAGAAGCAACAGGACCUGUUCAUGAGGCUGAAUUUUGCUGGCAUCCAAGUGCCCUUGAUUCACACAGGGAGUUCAGGGUACCCAUGACUAGAGUCCACCGUAAACUUGUUAUAAUGUCAUCAAACUGUCUCAGAUGCCUUAUUUCAGGAGCCAAGACUGAGCCUGAUGCCAGUGCAGAAAAAGGAAUGCUUUCAUCACACGCACAGCUCUGGGCCUCUUGCUCUGGAUGGGUGAGGCAGAGCCAUAAAGAGAAGCUGGCCUGAAGAUGCACAUCAAGUGUCGGGAGAGGAGUGGGACCCUGCCUACCCAUGGCAGAACUGGCCAGGCCGAAGCAGAGGAGGGAAAGUGUUCCUCAAAACUGGGGACUGCCUGUAGUCUUACACUGAAAGGAGGUGGCAGUGGGUACUCCUUGCGUGCAGGGUCUGACCCUUAGGGCUGACGGUGGCCCAUGUUACAGGGCAGCUACAGCUCUGUUAACUUUCAUGCCUUUGUAAAUACUGGGCAUACUGAUAAUCCUUUGCACUUUUCUUGAAGGUUGCACUUUUCUUGAAGGAUUCAAAUGCACAAUUCACCUUCUCACUUUGCUCUGGGUAAAAAAACGUGGAAAAGACCGUAACACAUCCAAAGCGGCAGGGUAUCUCCCCUUGUUAUCCUUCCUUUUCUUCCUGGCAGGGGCAGAGCCUCUGGCAAAGACUCACAAGCACUGACUUGAGGGUGAAAAGAAAAGGACCUUUAAUGCCCAGAAAACAAAGUCCAUGCUCUUGAGUACUCCAUAUCCACAAGAAGAUCGAGCCCAGUUCCAGGACUUGGUGUGUAUGUUAUAGUGUUUGUGAAGCCAGAAAAUCUCACCAUGAGUUACUGUACAAUAAACCUACUUCUUCAUUUAUACCUAAGUGGGGACCCUGUUCCAUUCUUACAGCAGCAUAUUUAAUAAGUAAUAAAAUAGGAGUUUGUUAAAAAGAAACUUAUUUCUUGCUAGGAAGUCUUUGGUUUAAAUGCCCAUUUUCAGACAUUAUACGUGAAAAUGGGCAAGUCCUGCAGUAGGUCACUUACUAAAAAUUUGAUUUGAAGAUCAGCCUACAAGUCAUAACCACUCUCAUAAAGAUGUAACUAUCAUAAUAACUUUCCUUUUCCCAGUUGGAAGUACAAGAUGAACUGUUCUGAAGCACCUAAUGUAUAACUAAUGUUUAUUUGUUUUACAAGUAGCUUUACAGCUGCAAUGUUCCAAGAAUGCUUAAAUUCAAUAAACAGCUAUUAUAAUUCA